ACCGGGCGUUGUGGAUGAACGAGUACCAGCCGGCGUUUUCAGAGCCGGCUUGAGGAUGUUUCAUCAGCCCAGUUUGAGGAUGUGCAUGUAUUAAUUACUCAGACUUUGUUCUUGCAAAAAAUAUUUCAAUAUUUGUUUACAUUUAAUCCGUGAAGGAUUGACUGUGUUGCUUCAGAAGCAUGAAGUCUCUUCAUGUGCUGUGGAAAUGUGCUGGAGAGAGGAGGGAGCCACCGCCAGCAGCGUGCUGAGACUCAGUGAUGCUUGUGCUCAGUGAUGCUUUUUGCUGGACGGCUUCACAGGAGGUGUGACGCCGUAUUGUGGGAAAUACAAAUGCACGGAGGAUGCACAUCCACACUGUAAGGCAUAUAGCUGAGAAGAGUUGUCAAUAUGGACGUUUCAAAUCCAGGUGCAAAGAAAACACUAGUGCAAUGCCAGUGUGUGUUGCCAGAGCUUGGACUUUCAGUGCAAUGCAUAGGUGAAAAAAGAAAAAAAGAACUUGUCCUCUCCACCUGUGCCACUAUUCCAAGUGGCUUUUUGUCAAUUCACUUGAUCAUUCAGAUCAUUAUCUUGACUUAAUUAUCAGUAUUCAAACCAUUAGAGCAGUUGCCUGAUUAUCCCACUGUAGCUGAGGGCAAGAGCUGUCAUCUAUGUCAUCUACCACAUGACUAUGACAAAUCUGAGCUUUGAGUUAGGCAAGUAAGGAAAAAGUAAGAGACUCAAAAGCAAUUACUGAGAGCAAUCAUGCUCAACAGACACCACCCAGGCUGGCUGGUAUGAACUGCAUCAAAGGAGGACAUAUCUGAUGGGGUUUUUACAUUAAGAACUCAACUUGGAUGACACCAGCUUCAUGUGGUCAACAUCUGUGGGGAUGACUAGAGGAUGGACUGGCAACAGAAAUCAAGGUUAAAAGCAGGAUGCAAAAAAAGAUUAAUUGUUUGAAUAUGAAAAAUAGAGAAUUGCCCAGUUGAAAAAGACAUUAAAUAAAAAUGGACAAAAGAAAGAAAAAUAGAAGAAAUUAUAGCAAAUGGAAGAAAAAACAACUUAGUGUGACAACAUGAGAAGGCCUGUUUCUUAAUCUAGCAAUAAAAAUGUUGUGAUCUUUGAGCUAAGAUAUUUUACUUCAUUAAAGUGUCACCUUAUUCUUUUUAAAAUCAUAUAUCUUUAGACAAGAUAAUUUGAUUGUACAUAGCAAAGGUGAAAGCAGUUUGAUGCAUUUUACUUUUUGACUGAGGUGUUUUAGUAUUACUUAUUUUCUGUAGUCUAAUAUGAAUGAAAUAUUUACAUCUCAAAAUUGGACUUUUUUUUUUCUUAUGCACCAAUAAAAGCUUUUUAGUUAUGCUGUGGUCAU